GAAGUGCGACAAGUGUCAUGACUUGCAGAUUCCCGAGAGCUGACAAAUUUCUGAAUGCAAAUGGCGGCCGCCUAAAACGGCCAUGUAUUGCAGAGUGUAGUUGUUCAAACUCAUCAUCCCCUAUUGCCAUACGGUGGGCUUUAGGAUUGGGAUCUGCGCUUAGGAGCUUCGCCCUGAGUGUUAAAACUGGAGCGUCUUGGACUGCUGUUCUCAGUAGUCCGGGCGGCUUCGAAACGGCAAGACAGGUCCUCGGAUCUGUCCAGUCUCACGAAGUUAUGCUCUAAUCAUAUAGGCAGCCACCUCUGCGAUGCAGGACUACCCGCUGAACUUAA
rnacentral:misc_RNA from 1 species